rnacentral:rRNA from 1 species
UUGGGCGUAAAGGGCUCGCAGGCGGUUUCUUAAGUCUGAUGUGAAAGCCCCCGGCUCAACCGGGGAGGGUCAUUGGAAACUGGGGAACUUGAGUGCAGAAGAGGAGAGUGGAAUUCCACGUGUAGCGGUGAAAUGCGUAGAGAUGUGGAGGAACACCAGUGGCGAAGGCGACUCUCUGGUCUGUAACUGACGCUGAGGAGCGAAAGCGUGGGGAGCGAACAGGAUUAGAUACCCUGGUAGUCCACGCCGUAAACGAUGAGUGCUAAGUGUUAGGGGGUUUCCGCCCCUUAGUGCUGCAGCUAACGCAUUAAGCACUCCGCCUGGGGAGUACGGUCGCAAGACUGAAACUCAAAGGAAUUGACGGGGGCCCGCACAAGCGGUGGAGCAUGUGGUUUAAUUCGAAGCAACGCGAAGAACCUUACCAGGUCUUGACAUCCUCUGACAAUCCUAGAGAUAGGACGUCCCCUUCGGGGGCAGAGUGACAGGUGGUGCAUGGUUGUCGUCAGCUCGUGUCGUGAGAUGUUGGGUUAAGUCCCGCAACGAGCGCAACCCUUGAUCUUAGUUGCCAGCAUUCAGUUGGGCACUCUAAGGUGACUGCCGGUGACAAACCGGAGGAAGGUGGGGAUGACGUCAAAUCAUCAUGCCCCUUAUGACCUGGGCUACACACGUGCUACAAUGGACAGAACAAAGGGCAGCGAAACCGCGAGGUUAAGCCAAUCCCACAAAUCUGUUCUCAGUUCGGAUCGCAGUCUGCAACUCGACUGCGUGAAGCUGGAAUCGCUAGUAAUCGCGGAUCA